rnacentral:piRNA from 1 species
UACCGACAAAGUAGCGGUGCCAGCAGU